GCCAGGGUUGUAGCUAGCUGUAGAGCUCCGUGUCUGUGCUGCUUCUCUUCUCCUCCAGCAGGUGGCGUCGUCUGCUGUAAGCUGUGUCUCUGCCCUCGGGAUGGUGGAGGUACCCGGUGGGAAGACUGGUCGGGGGAGUGGCACCGUCAGCCCUGCAGGGAGACCGACCUCACGGGUCUCUUUUUGGGACCGCUGGUAUGACUUGAGUGCCUGGUACUAUCACCUCUCUUACCUGGAGGUUUUCCAGCUGCAGACUUCAGCCCCAUCUCCCUCUCCCCUGGCAGUUCCCAAUUGAGGAACCUCUCACCCCAGGGCUCCCGUGGGUGGCUCCUUGGUCGCACUGCACACCUGUGUUGGGCAGCUAUUGUGUUGGGUCACUGCUGCUGGGGAGGGGGGAAGGUUGGAAGCCUGGUACCUGGCCGCUGGAGAUCUGAUCUGGGAACUGCCCCCAGCUGAAUGGCGAGAAUGUGGAGCCAAGAUGGCGGCGGCCUGCUUUCAGCACCGGGGGGUCUGGGGAGGUGGGGGGA
rnacentral:lncRNA from 1 species